CAAUCGCCCUAUCAACACCACCUCACUGCCGGACCUAUCGCAAUCACUGAGGCUCUGUUGACACUCUUGCCUGUCCAGCCGCUGUGGGUCACUCUCUCGUCUCUGCCAAGCAGUCCCGCCUAUUGUGCACCUCAGCCUCGCGGCUUCAACAAGUUCCGAUGCCGCCAUACCCGAACUCACAUCGCGCUUGCGAGCUUCUUGAGUCCGUGAGUGCUUCAGCAAUGGCGUCAAAUCCAGACUUUCGGAAAGAUGUUAUGAUAUGGGCGAUCGCGUGAAACGCGAAAUGGGACGCUCCGUUCGUUCUACCCCUGAGCGGGCUGGUCGACCCCCUGGCCUAGUCGUUGAUCCUCCCCACCCUGUUUCGGGCUUUUGUCUGUGCAAGCCGGUUACCGAAGACCAGAUAGAUAUGGAAUCAGGAGCGUCAGAUGCAAGUUGAAGCAGAGGGGGGGAUUUUGAUGGACCAGUCGCAUUUGUGGGAUUGUUGAUGGGAUAAAUCAAUCCGUCCGAAAUGCCGAAAGGAAAAGCAUUGGAUUGUGGCGUAGCGUUUGAAUCAAACAGAAAGUGCUUCCUGC